rnacentral:rRNA from 1 species
UGGGGAAUAUUGGACAAUGGGCGCAAGCCUGAUCCAGCCAUGCCGCGUGAGUGAUGAAGGCCUUAGGGUUGUAAAGCUCUUUCGUCAGGGAAGAUAAUGACGGUACCUGAAGAAGAAGCCCCGGCUAACUUCGUGCCAGCAGCCGCGGUAAUACGAAGGGGGCUAGCGUUGCUCGGAAUCACUGGGCGUAAAGCGCACGUAGGCGGCUUUCUAAGUCAGGGGUGAAAUCCUGGAGCUCAACUCCAGAACUGCCUUUGAUACUGGAAAGCUUGAGUUCGAGAGAGGUGAGUGGAACUGCGAGUGUAGAGGUGAAAUUCGUAGAUAUUCGCAAGAACACCAGUGGCGAAGGCGGCUCACUGGCUCGAUACUGACGCUGAGGUGCGAAAGCGUGGGGAGCAAAC